rnacentral:ribozyme from 1 species
AAAAAGAAAGACGGAAGGAAAGAAAGAAAGAAAGAAAGAAAGAAGUCAUAAAGUUCCUGCGUACAGCUGUCUGUGCGCUUACAGGUUUCAGGCAAAAGCUUUGUCUUGUCUCUCUCUUCCCUCCCUUUCUCUCU